UUCCGACAAAGGUAAACCCGGCGAAAGCCGGGGGCACAAAGCCAGGGGCCUAAAGCGAAAGCCAGGGCAGCCGGCUGCCGGA
rnacentral:ncRNA from 1 species